GAUGAAGAACGUAGCGAAAUGCGAUAAGUAAUGUGAAUUGCAGAAUUCAGUGAAUCAUCGAAUCUUUGAACGCACAUUGCGCCCGCCAGUAUUCUGGCGGGCAUGCCUGUUCGAGCGUCAUUUCAACCAUCAAGCCCCAGGCUUGUGUUGGAGCCCUGCGGCUGCCGCAGCCUCCCAAAACCAGUGGCGGGCUCGCUAUCACACCGAGUGCAGUAGUUUACUCUUCGCUCAGGGCGUGUGGCGGGUGCUAGCCGUAAAACCCCCAACUUCUCAAGGUUGACCUCGGAUCAGGUAGGAAUACCCGCUGAACUUAAGCAUAUCAAUAACGGAGGA
rnacentral:misc_RNA from 1 species